CCUCCGUCAACCCCUGGAUUUCCGUGUCCAACUUUAACUGUCCGUCUUAUAUGAAAUUUUUUUAUAAUUCGUAUUUUCAUUGUUGUUAGAUGAUAAAACAUGAUUAAUAUUUUAUACGUGACUUGUCUUUUUAAUUUUUUUUCAUAUUUUUUUUAAAUAAGACGAACGGUCAAACGUUGGACAUAGAAAAUUAUGAUUUAUCUUUUU
rfam:Oryza nivara chromosome 3, whole genome shotgun sequence.